rnacentral:misc_RNA from 1 species
AAGUCGUAACAAGGUUUCCGUAGGUGAACCUGCGGAAGGAUCAUUAAAAAUACCAAAUAUUUUUAUACACCUUCAAAUUUUAUUGAUACUAUACUUUAUUUCAUUCGAAAUAAAAAUAAAUAAUCUAAAUAUAACUUUUAACAAUGGAUCUCUUGGCUCUC